UACGGGGGGGGCAAGCGUUAUUCGGAAUUACUGGGCGUAAAGGGCUCGUAGGCGGCCAACUAAGUCAUACGUGAAAUCCCUCGGCUUAACCGGGGAACUGCGUCUGAUACUGGAUGGCUUGAGUUCGGGAGAGGGAUGCGGAAUUCCAGGUGUAGCGGUGAAAUGCGUAGAUAUCUGGAGGAACACCGGUGGCGAAGGCGGCAUCCUGGACCGAUACUGACGCUGAGGAGCGAAAGCCAGGGGAGCAAACGGG
rnacentral:rRNA from 1 species